rnacentral:rRNA from 1 species
UACGGAGGGUGCAAGCGUUAUCCGGAUUUACUGGGUUUAAAGGGUGCGCAGGCGGAUAUGUAAGUCAGUGGUGAAAUCUCUAGGCUUAACCUGGAAAUUGCCGUUGAUACUAUAUAUCUUGAAUGCUGUGGAGGUAAGCGGAAUAUGUCAUGUAGCGGUGAAAUGCUUAGAUAUGACAUAGAACACCUAUUGCGAAGGCAGCUUACUACGCAGAUAUUGACGCUCAUGCACAAAGCGUUGGG